UGGGGAAUAUUGCACAAUGGGCGAAAGCCUGAUGCAGCGACGCCGCGUGGGGGAUGACGGCCUUCGGGUUGUAAACCUCUUUCGACCCUGACGAAGCCGUGAGGUGACGGUAGGGGGGGAAGAAGCACCGGCCAACUACGUGCCAGCAGCCGCGGUAAGACGUAGGGUGCGAGCGUUGUCCGGAUUUAUUGGGCGUAAAGAGCUCGUAGGCGGCUCGUCGCGUCGACCGUGAAAACCGGCGGCUUAACUGUCGGCUUGCGGUUGAUACGGGCGUAGCUGGAGUUCGGUAGGGGAGACUGGAAUUCCUGGUGUAGCGGUGAAAUGCGCAGAUAUCAGGAGGAACACCGGUGGCGAAGGCGGGUCUCUGGGCCGAUACUGACGCUGAGGAGCGAAAGCGUGGGGAGCGAACAG
rnacentral:rRNA from 1 species